CCAAUAGCGUAUAUUAAAGUUGUUGCAGUUAAAAAGCUCGUAGUUGAAUUUCGGGAUUAGUACGUUGGUCGUGCCUUGGUACGUACUGGUGUAACUGAUUCCUCCCUUCUGACGAACCGUUAUGCCAUUAAUUUGGUGUGGCGGGAAAUCAGGACUGUUACUUUGCAAAAAUUAGAGUGUUUAAAGCAGGCUCGCGCUUGAAUACAUUAGCAUGGAAUAAUGAAAUAGGACGUUAAGCCUAUUUUGUUGGUUUCUAGGAUCGACGUAAUGAUUAAUAGGGAUAGUUGAGGGCAUUAGUAUUCAAUUGUCAGAGGUGAAAUUCUUGGAUUUAUUGAAGACUAACUACUGCGAAAGCAUUUGCCAAGGAUGUUUUCAUUAAUCAAGAACGAAAGUUGGGGGAUCGAAGACGAUCAGAUACCGUCGUAGUCUUAACCAUAAACUAUGCCGACUAGGGAUCGGAUGAUGUUAAUUUUUUAAUGACUCAUUCGGCGCCUUACG
rnacentral:misc_RNA from 1 species